GAUGAACGCUGGCGGCGUGCCUAAUACAUGCAAGUCGAGCGAACAGAUGAGGAGCUUGCUCCUCUGACGUUAGCGGCGGACGGGUGAGUAACACGUGGAUAACCUACCUACAAGACUGGGAUAACUUCGGGAAACCGGAGCUAAUACCGGAUAAUAUAUUGAACCGCAUGGUUCAAUAGUGAAAGACGGUUUUGCUGUCACUUAUAGAUGGAUCCGCGCCGCAUUAGCUAGUUGGUAAGGUAACGGCUUACCAAGGCAACGAUGCGUAGCCGACCUGAGAGGGUGAUCGGCCACACUGGAACUGAGACACGGUCCAGACUCCUACGGGAGGCAGCAGUAGGGAAUCUUCCGCAAUGGGCGAAAGCCUGACGGAGCAACGCCGCGUGAGUGAUGAAGGUCUUCGGAUCGUAAAACUCUGUUAUUAGGGAAGAACAAAUGUGUAAGUAACUAUGCACGUCUUGACGGUACCUAAUCAGAAAGCCACGGCUAACUACGUG
rnacentral:rRNA from 1 species